rnacentral:lncRNA from 1 species
AAGAUCAUAAGUCUGGAUUAAAAGAAGCUUCUUGACCUUUGGUUCUUCAGUCUCACCUCUACAAUACUACUGUCAUGCCAAACUUCUCCCAUAUCUUUGUGUUCAGCAUAUUCCAGACAUUUUCUAUGUUUUUCCUCAGCCUAGAAGCUUCUUCCUCAUUUGCCCUGUAAAAGUUCUUCAAUGGAAAUAAGUUUUCUAUUGAUGCAGAAAUUAAGUCACAAGAUUUUCAUGCAACUUUUAAAUCAGAAAAAGGACGCAUUUGCUUCUCCUUCCGCCAUGAUG